UUAACCACGCGGCCCCCUCCACAGGGAUCUCAAUAGAUACUGAUACCUAAAAUUUAAUGCGAAUUCGAAUUCGAACGGAAUGAAUUUAUCUGAUACUAAACGAAUAUGAUUUUGAAUAUAAAUAUUAAAACUAAAAAUCUGACGAAAAUGAAUUCGGAUGUAAAUUUUGUAUGUAUCUGGUUCGUACCCGACCAGAACCUAAAUUCAUUUUACAUUAUAUAUAAUAUGUAUAUAAAAAUUUAAUGUUAUAUUUGAAUUUGUAUAUUAAAAAUUUGAAAUAUUGAAGAGAGAAAUAAUUGCUCUAGUUUAGAUUUUCGCGUUAGGACUUUGAAUUUUUUAUUAGAUUCGAGUUUGGAUAUGGAUUUUUAAAAUCCGUCAGAUUCAUGUUUGAAUUUGAAUUUCGGGUUCAGAUUCGAAUUUUAAAAAAUUCGCCCCGAAACUAACCUGUUGACAUUCAUCCUUUUACUCCCUUUCUUUCUUUCUUUUCAUAUCUUUCUUUCUU
rnacentral:lncRNA from 1 species